rnacentral:rRNA from 5 species
GGGACAAGAAGACCCUAUAAAUCUUUAUUUCUUUAUUAUGAAAUAAAAAAUAAAAAAAAUUUUUUUUGUAAAAAGAAAUUUAAUUGGGGCGAUUGAAAAAGAUUAAAAAUCUUUAUUAAGAUCCAAAUAUUUUUGAUUGGUUGAAAAAGAUACUUUAGGGAUAACAGCGUAAUUAUUUUGGAUAGUUCAUAUUGGUAAAAUAGUUUGCGACCUCGAUGUUG